GGGAUGGAGCCACGGGCGCUGCAGUACGAGCAGACCCUGAUGUAUGGCCGGUACACUCAGGACCUUGGGGCCUUUGCCAAAGAGGAAGCUGCUCGGAUUCGCCUGGGAGGGCCUGAACCCUGGAAAGGUCCCCCUUCCCCUCGGGCUGCCCCAGAGCUCUUGGAAUAUGGACGGAGCCGUUGCGCCCGAUGCCACGUCUGUUCUGUCCGCUGCCACAAGUUCCUAGUAUCCAGGGUUGGUGAAGAUUGGAUCUUCCUGGUCCUGCUGGGGCUCCUCAUGGCACUGGUCAGCUGGGUCAUGGACUAUGCCAUUGCUGCCUGUCUGCAAGCCCAGCAGUGGAUGUCCCGGGGCUUGAACACCAGCAUCUUGCUCCAGUACCUGGCCUGGGUCACCUACCCUGUUGUCCUCAUCACUUUCUCAGCCGGAUUCACACAGAUCCUGGCCCCUCAGGCUGUCGGCUCUGGCAUCCCUGAGAUGAAGACCAUCUUGCGGGGAGUGGUGCUGAAAGAAUACCUCACACUCAAGACCUUUGUAGCUAAGGUCAUUGGGCUGACCUGCGCCCUGGGCAGCGGGAUGCCGCUUGGCAAAGAGAAUGAAUCCCGGAACACAGAGAUGCUGGCUGCCGCCUGUGCCGUGGGGGUAGGCUGCUGCUUCGCAGCACCUAUCGGAGGCGUCCUCUUCAGCAUCGAGGUCACCUCCACCUUCUUCGCGGUGCGGAACUACUGGCGGGGCUUCUUCGCUGCCACCUUCAGUGCCUUCAUCUUCCGGGUCUUGGCAGUCUGGAACCGGGAUGAAGAGACUAUUACAGCCCUCUUCAAAACCCGAUUCCGGCUUGACUUCCCCUUUGACCUGCAGGAGCUGCCAGCCUUUGCUGUCAUUGGUAUUGCUAGUGGCUUCGGUGGAGCCCUCUUUGUCUACCUGAACCGGAAGAUUGUCCAGGUGAUGCGGAAGCAGAAAACCAUCAAUCGCUUCCUCAUGAGGAAGUGAGUGGCUCUCGGCUCCUCUCCAGGCUGCUUUGAGUUGUAUAAGGACCACAGUAGGUCAGGGGACAGUGAUGGGGAGAGAAUGACCCAGUCAAAACAGGCACUCCACUGAGAAAUCAGCCAGCGGUGUUUUCCAGGCUGACUGAGCAUUUUUAUAUUCAUAUGAAUUACCUGAAAAUUGGCACUUUUAAGUUUAUAGUCAGUGGUAGAAGACAUUUGGGAAUCAAAGACUAAAGCCACCUCAGGUCCUCUGGCCUGGCACAUAUAGGAUGCUCCCUGGAGAGUGUUUGAGCCUCAGUUUCCCCCCAUGACCCAUGGGGAUGGAUGAGAUUUCUUUUUUUAUUUUUUUUUUUUGAGACGGAGUUUCACUCUUGUUGUCCAGGCUGGAGUGCAAUGGUGCGAUCUCGGCUCACCGCAACCUCCGCCUCCUGGGUUCAAGCAAUUCUCCUGCCUCAGCCUCCCAAGUAGCUGGGAUUACAGGCAUGCGCCACCACGCCCGGCUGAUUUUAUAUUUUUUAGUAGAGACAGUUUCGCCAUGUUUGUCAGGCUGGUCUCGAAUUCCCGACCUCAGGUCCGCCCACCUCGGCCUCCCAAAGUGCUGGGAUUACAGGCGUGAGCCACUGUGCCCAGCCGAGAUUUAUCUCCAGAACAUAGCUCUCUCAGUGUGACCCUGAGGAUUGGGAGUGGGGAGGCCUGAGACAUGACUUCCCUUGGGACUGACAUCCUUCAGAGAGAGGGCAGCCAGCUGAACCUACUCCCUACGCACCUCUGUUAAACUUCACAAGUGACCCCAGCUUCCCCCAACAUUAACCUUCACUCUAAGUCACCACAGAGAGACAAACAGAGGCAGAAACUUCUCCACCCCAUCACACAAUAUGCCCUGAUGGGCUUCUGAGGGUUGAGGGUGGAAUAACAACUCGGAGGGCCCCAAGGGAGGGCUUGGAGGAUGGACUUUCUGCUGCUGCUACCCACCUACAGAGUCAGGGGCUGACAGAAAGGUCUUUGGGUAAGACCCCUGCUCUUAGAAUAACCCCAGUCCACCAUCACCCUUGGGGCUAUCGUAUCAUAAACAGCAAAGGAGACCUGUCAGGACUGAGUGUUUUCAUGAAAGAGCCAAGGCUCUGCUCUGACCUCAGCCCUGAGAUAUGCGAGGGCACCCAGCCCUUGGCCACCCACGACUGAUGUGAAACCUAUGACUCUAGACGCCUGCUCUUCCCGGCUCUGGUGACCCUGCUCAUCUCCACGCUGACCUUCCCCCCUGGCUUUGGACAGUUCAUGGCUGGACAGGUAACCACAAGCAGAACAGGAGUUUUGUGCUUUCCCUUGGAAGGCAUUCCUCCAAAGCCAACAGCCCCAGCGUAACUGUGGGACCCCUUGUCCCCCAUGGGAUCCCAUGGCCUCUUCCCUUCAUCCUGUCGGUUUCCCAGCCUGAGGCACCCUGUUCACUCUAGCUCUCACAGAAAGAAACGCUGGUCACCCUGUUUGACAAUCGGACGUGGGUCCGCCAGGGCCUGGUGGAGGAGCUAGAACCACCCAGCACCUCACAGGCCUGGAACCCACCACGUGCCAACGUCUUCCUCACCCUGGUCAUCUUCAUUCUCAUGAAGGUGGGCUCCUCACGUGUACACUGCUAACUUUUACAUAGCUUGCCCUUCUAAGCACCUGCCAUGCAGUGCUCACUCCUCGAAGCCUCUCCACAGUGCCAUGGGAAAGGCACUAUUGUCAUCCCCGUUUGAAAGAUGGGGAGUGGAAACACAGCGAGGUGAAGUAGCUGGCCCAAAGUCACACAGCUAGAGGGCAGAGCGAUGAUCUGAACCCAAGCCAUCUGCUUCCAGAGUCCUUCCCCUUGCCGUCACCUGGGAGGCCUGGGGGUUCCAGGGUAGCUGGGAGGGUUACGGAGUAGCUGGGAGGGUUAUGCCCACCUGAUCAGCGAGGUAGACUUCUCCUGGGUGGCGCUGUGGGCUGCCUGGGGCCAGGUGGAGCCUCUUCGCCUUUGAACCACCCCCUGCCUGCAGUUCUGGAUGUCUGCACUGGCCACCACCAUCCCAGUUCCUUGUGGGGCCUUCAUGCCUGUCUUUGUCAUUGGAGCAGCAUUUGGGCGUCUGGUGGGCGAAAGCAUGGCUGCCUGGUUCCCAGAUGGAAUUCAUACGGACAGCAGCACCUACCGGAUUGUGCCUGGGGGCUACGCUGUGGUCGGGGCAGCUGCAUUGGCAGGAGCGGUGACACACACAGUGUCCACGGCUGUGAUCGUGUUCGAGCUCACAGGCCAGAUUGCCCACAUCCUGCCUGUCAUGAUCGCCGUCAUCCUGGCCAACGCUGUCGCCCAGAGUCUACAGCCCUCCCUCUAUGACAGCAUCAUCCGAAUCAAGAAACUGCCCUACCUGCCUGAGCUUGGCUGGGGCCGCCACCAAGUCCAUGAUUCUGCUGGGCUCCAUCGAGCGUUCACAGGUGGUGGCAUUGCUGGGGGCCCAGCUGAGCCCAGCCCGCCGGCGGCAGCACAUGCAGAAGCGCAGAGCCACCCAGACCUCUCCACUAUCUGAUCAGGAGGGUCCCCCUAGCCCUGAGGCUUCUGUCUGCUUCCAGGUGAACACAGAAGACUCAGCCUUCCCGGCAGCCCGGGGGGAGACCCACAAGCCCCUAAAGCCUGCACUCAAGAGGGGGCCCAGUGUCACCAGGAACCUUGGAGAGAGUCCCACAGGGAAUGCAGAGUCGGCAGGCAUCACCCUCCGGAGCCUCUUCUGUGGCAGUCCACCCCCUGAGGCUGCUUCGGAGAAGUUGGAAUCUUGUGAGAAGCGCAAGCUGAAGCGGGUCCGAAUCUCCCUGGCAAGUGACACGGACCUGGAAGGCGAGAUGAGCCCUGAAGAGAUUCUGGAGUGGGAGGAGCAGCAACUAGAUGAACCUGUCAACUUCAAUGACUGCAAAAUUGAUCCUGCUCCCUUCCAGCUGGUGGAGCGGACCUCUUUGCACAAGACUCACACUAUCUUCUCACUGCUGGGAGUGGACCAUGCUUAUGUCACCAGUAUUGGCAGACUCAUUGGAAUCGUUACUCUAAAGGAGCUCCGGAAGGCCAUCGAGGGCUCUGUCACAGCACAGGGUGUGAAAGUCCGGCCGCCACUCGCCAGCUUCCGAGACAGUGCCACCAGCAGCAGUGACACGGAGACCACUGAGGUGCAUGCACUCUGGGGGCCCCACUCCCAUCAUGGCCUCCCCCGGGAGGGCAGCCCUUCCGACAGCGACGACAAAUGCCAAUGAGCCCCUCGUGGGUGGCCUAGGAUGGUGCUAGCCAUGCCCGUCAGCCCAGAAUGUGCAUAUUUCAUUCCUUCUGCCUUGGGAAGGCAGGAGGCAGCUACAGCUGGAGGCUGCACCCCAGCCUCCUCCAGACCUGGGGUGCCAGCUUCUCCCAGUUCAUCCUACCUGGAAUCUGACCCACUGCCCACCUGCAGCAAGUUUUCCAGGGGCAGGAAGAUCGGCCCUGCCUUGGCAGGAUGGGUUGGGGUCACUUGACCCCUGCUCCCCCUCUGAGGGGAAAGGGGUGGAACUAAGAUGGGUUUAUAACUGGAACCUCCAAUGACCAGAUGUAUAUAGAGAUUUACAAAGAUUUUUAUAUUAAUUUAAUAAAACAAAUUCU
rnacentral:sRNA from 1 species